ncrna:unclassified sequences DTF3268 RNA
UAGCAGGGCUUGCGUCCAGGCUUUCGGUACGUCAGACGGUACCCUGACGUCAGACAUAUCCUGCGGAUAUGGAAUCGUUACGGAGACGCGCACACUGAGCGGAUCCACAAAGCGCAAGCU